UCUUAUGGCCACAGCCAUAUCACCCUGCAGCCCAUGACUGGUUACUCAUUGAUGCUAAGCAGGGCUGGUUAGUACCUAGAAAGGGAGACCACAUGUGAAAACUAGGUUGCUAUUGGAA
rnacentral:rRNA from 1 species